rnacentral:rRNA from 1 species
GACGAACGCUGGCGGCGUGCCUAAUACAUGCAAGUAGAACGCUGAAGGAGGAGCUUGCUUCUCUGGAUGAGUUGCGAACGGGUGAGUAACGCGUAGGUAACCUGCCUGGUAGCGGGGGAUAACUAUUGGAAACGAUAGCUAAUACCGCAUAAGAGUAGAUGUUGCAUGACAUUUGCUUAAAAGGUGCAAUUGCAUCACUACCAGAUGGACCUGCGUUGUAUUAGCUAGUUGGUGAGGUAACGGCUCACCAAGGCAACGAUACAUAGCCGACCUGAGAGGGUGAUCGGCCACACUGGGACUGAGACACGGCCCAGACUCCUACGGGAGGCAGCAGUAGGGAAUCUUCGGCAAUGGACGGAAGUCUGACCGAGCAACGCCGCGUGAGUGAAGAAGGUUUUCGGAUCGUAAAGCUCUGUUGUAAGAGAAGAACGAGUGUGAGAGUGGAAAGUUCACACUGUGACGGGAUCUUACCAGAAAGGGACGGCGAACUACGU